CAUGUAAUGACAGUAAGAUUCAUUCACCAAAGCUUUUUCUCUCCCUCACGCCAACUACACACAAAUAUCAAUUCCCAAAAUCACUUUUGAAGAAGUUAGAAUUUUGAAGGUGAGGUCUUCCUUUAAUCCUCUCUCUCUCUCUCUCUCUCUCUCUCUCUCGUGACCUGCUCAACAACCACAAACUCCAUGUAUUCACCUCCCCUCUUUAGCCAUUCACUUGCAUUCAAAAACAGUGGGAAUCUUCUCCUUUCCCAAGCUCUCUCACGAGCUCUCUUCCUCUGUCAUCACUCUAUAACUUGCCUCUUCUCUUGGCCACUCCUAUUUUCAAGUAUGAAUCAGAUUUUUUUAAUUAUUCUCAUGUUCUUCUCAACAAAAAAUCAGAAUAAAUACCCCUUUGGAGAUCACAGAAUCAUUCAUUCAUUCAUCAAACACAAGUAACACUAAGGAAAAUCCAUUCUUUCUUCAAUCGAGCUUCAAGAACUCAAUUUAGAGGUUUUGGAUAGGAGCUGAAGGGAGUUUCUGAGGCAGUAACCGAGCUUGUUAGCAGAUUAAAGCUCCAUUCUCAGAUAAGCAGGUGGCAUAAGGUAACGAGCUUUUGGAUGGAGCUUUUUAUGUUCAAGGACUUCAUGUUUAAGUUUUAUGAUCAUAAUAUUAUGUUGUGUAUAAGUUUAAGGCUAUGUCACUUGCUUACGAAUUCAUGUAUUCAGCAACUGCGUUUGCCAAUUCUGAACCCUUUUGUAUUGUAAGUUUAAUGAACUCUGUAUCGAUUAAGCAUUUUCGCAUUAUAUUCUAGACUAUGUAAUGUGGGGUGUUA